CUAACACAUGCAAGUCGAACGGGUAACAGGAAGAAGCUUGCUUCUUUGCUGACGAGUGGCGGACGGGUGAGUAAUGUCUGGGAAACUGCCUGAUGGAGGGGGAUAACUACUGGAAACGGUAGCUAAUACCGCAUAACGUCGCAAGACCAAAGAGGGGGACCUUCGGGCCUCUUGCCAUCGGAUGUGCCCAGAUGGGAUUAGCUAGUAGGUGGGGUAACGGCUCACCUAGGCGACGAUCCCUAGCUGGUCUGAGAGGAUGACCAGCCACACUGGAACUGAGACACGGUCCAGACUCCUACGGGAGGCAGCAGUGGGGAAUAUUGCACAAUGGGCGCAAGCCUGAUGCAGCCAUGCCGCGUGUAUGAAGAAGGCCUUCGGGUUGUAAAGUACUUUCAGCGGGGAGGAAGGGAGUAAAGUUAAUACCUUUGCUCAUUGACGUUACCCGCAGAAGAAGCACCGGCUAACUCCGUGCCAGCAGCCGCGGUAGUACGGAGGGUGCAAGCGUUAAUCGGAAUUACUGGGCGUAAAGCGCACGCAGGCGGUUUGUUAAGUCAGAUGUGAAAUCCCCGGGCUCAACCUGGGAACUGCAUCUGAUACUGGCAAGCUUGAGUCUCGUAGAGGGGGGUAGAAUUCCAGGUGUAGCGGUGAAAUGCGUAGAGAUCUGGAGGAAUA
rnacentral:rRNA from 1 species